UUACUUGGAUAACUGUGGUAAUUCUAGAGCUAAUACAUGCAAACAGAACUCCGCCCGGAGACGGAAGGAGUGCUUUUAUUAGAUCAAAACCAAUCGGUGGGGGUUCGUCCUUCAUCGUAUAACUUGGUGAUUCUGAAUAACUUUCAGCUGAUCGCACGGUCUCGCACCGGCGACGCAUCUUUCAAAUGUCUGCCUUAUCAACUGUCGAUGGUAGGUUCUGCGCCUACCAUGGUUGUAACGGGUAACGGGGAAUCAGGGUUCGAUUCCGGAGAGGGAGCCUGAGAAACGGCUACCACAUCCAAGGAAGGCAGCAGGCGCGCAAAUUACCCACUCCCGGCACGGGGAGGUAGUGACGAAAAAUAACGAUACGGGACUCAUCCGAGGCCCCGUAAUCGGAAUGAGUACACUCUAAACCCUUUAACGAGGAUCAAUUGGAGGGCAAGUCUGGUGCCAGCAGCCGCGGUAAUUCCAGCUCCAAUAGCGUAUAUUAAAGUUGUUGCGGUUAAAAAGCUCGUAGUCGAAUCUGUGUCCCACGCCGCUGGUUCAUCGUUCGCGGUGUUAACUGGCGUGUCGCGGGACGUCCUGCCGGUGGGCUUAGCCUGCAAGGGCGGCCCAACUCAAUCCCGCCGCGGUGCUCUUCACUGAGUGUCGAGGUGGGCCGGCACGUUUACUUUGAACAAAUUAGAGUGCUUAAAGCAGGCUAAAACUUCGCCUGAAUAUGUGUGCAUGGAAUAAUGGAAUAGGACCUCGGUUCUAUUUUGUUGGUUUUCGGAACCCCGAGGUAAUGAUUAAUAGG
rnacentral:rRNA from 1 species